AUUUUUUGUUAAAUUAGAAAAUGUUGGGUGGCAACAAUGGUAAUCCUGUACUUCCUGUUUUUUUGGAUGAGAAUCGUAUACCCUAUCAGUCUAAUCCUUCAAAUCAGCUGCAGUUAUUCAGUAAUUUCCCAGCUGGAUGCAGNNNNNNNNNNGAUGCAGUGAAUUGUUUUGGGAAUGAGCAUAUGAGCCCUAUGCUUCGGCCCAAUAAGAGAGCCAGAGG
rnacentral:misc_RNA from 1 species